rnacentral:rRNA from 1 species
AUUGAACGCUGGCGGCAGGCUUAACACAUGCAAGUCGAGCGGAGUUUUGGUGCUUGCACCCAGACUUAGCGGCGGACGGGUGAGUAAUGCUUAGGAAUUUGCCUAUUAGUGGGGGACAACGUUUUGAAAGGAACGCUAAUUCCGCAUACGUCCUACGGGAGAAAGCAGGGGAUCUUUGGACCUUGCGCUAAUAGAUGAGCCUAAGUUGGAUUAGCUAGUUGGUGGGGUAAAGGCCUACCAAGGCGACGAUCUGUAGCGGGUUUGAGAGGAUGAUUCGCCACCCUGGGACUGAGACACGGCCCAGACUCCUACGGGAGGCAGCAGUGGGGAAUAUUGGACAAUGGGCGAAAGCCUGAUCCAGCCAUGCCGCGUGUGUGAAGAAGGCCUUUUGGUUGUAAAGCACUUUAAGCGAGGAGGAGGAGCUUCAGGUUAAUACCCUGGAUGCUUGGACGUUACUCGCAGAAUAAGCACCGGCUAACUUUGUG